UGGCUCUGGCCUGGGCAAAGCUGGCUUUGCUGGCGACAACGCGCCCAGGGCCGUGUUUCCUUCAAUUGUUGGGCGCCCCCGACACCAGGGCGUCAUGGUGGGCAUGGGCCAGAAGGACUCCUAUGUGGGUGAUGAGGCCCAGAGAAAGAGAGGUAUCCUGACCCUGUCACCAAAUGGGAUGACAUGGAGAUCUGGCAUCACACUUUCUACAUUGAACUGCGUGUGGCCCCUGAGGAGCACCCAGUGCUUCUGACCGAGGCCCCCCUGAACCCCAAAGCUAACAGAGAGAAGAUGAUGCAGAUAAUGUUUGAAACCUUCAAUACCCCAGCCAUGUACGUGGCCAUUCAGGCGACGCUGUCCCUGUAUGCAUCUGGGCACACCACUGGCAUUGUCAUGGACUAUGGUGACAGGGUCACACAUACUGUGCCCUUCAAUGAGGGUUACGCCCUGCUCCACACCAUCUUGUGUCUGGACCUGGCUGGCCGGGACCUGACAGACUACCUCAUGAAGACCGUGACUAAGAGGGGAUAUAGCUUCACCAUGACGGCUGAGUGGGAAAUUGUGUAUGACAUUAAGAGAAGCUGUGCUAUGUUGCCCUGGAUUUUGAACAAGAAAUGGCUACUGCUGCAUUGUCCUCUUCCUUGGAGAAGAGCUAUGAGCUGCCUGAUGGACAGGUGAUCACCAUCGGCAAUGAGUGCUUCCGGUGUCCAGAGGCGCUCUUCCAGCCUUCCUUCCUGGACAUGGAGUCAUGUGGCAUCCACAAGACCACCUUCAACUCUAUCAUGAAGUAUGAUGUGGACAUCCGCAAGGACCUGUAUGCCAACACAGUGCUGUCUGGUGGUACCACCGUUUAUCCAGGCAUUGCUGACAGAAUGCAGAAGAAGACCAUAGCCCUAACACACAGCACAAUGAAGAUUAAGAUCAUUGCUCGCCCUGAGCACAAGUAUUCAGUCUGAAUUGGCGGCUCCAUUCUGGCCUACUGUCCACCUUCCAGCAGAUGUGGAUCAGCAAGCAGGAAUAUGAUGAGUCAGGCCCCUCCAUCGUCCACCGUAAAUGCUUCUAGAUGGACUGAGCAGGU